AUGCACUUGGCAAAUCGCACCACAAACGUACAACUUUAUCGCAGAUCCCACUUUCGUAAAAAGGAAACUGGUUUGGUCUAAACUAACUGUAGCCGUUCGAUCUGAAUCUAACGGUACACAUCACGCGUGUGUACUUAUGACACGUUCAAUCUGCGACACGCACUCACUUUCUCUUUCCUCCUCCUCCUCUCUCUCCCCUGCGACUCCCGGUGGUCGAGAAACCCCAACCACCUCCAAAACACCGUCGUUUCAAUUUCCGAACGUUACUGCUCACGCGCGUUUUUCCAUCGUUCGGUUAGAGUAUACGAUCCAUGGUCAGUACAUUUACCAAUGAAUCAGACACACAAUAACAUAGCAGUAUAAAUUGUCUCAAAUGGAUGUUCACGUGAUAAAUGUUGAAGACGAGAGUGAUCAUCAAGCUAGGGCAGAUGAUGGGGAUACAGAACCUAGUGAUGGUGAAAUUAAUAAUGCUGAAAGCUUUGGAUUUUAUGUUGAGGAUGGGAUUUCUGAGCCAUAUUUGGGUAUGGAAUUUGAUUCAGAAGAUGUUGCCAAGACUUUCUACGAUGAGUACGCGAAACACAUGGGUUUCAGCUCUAAAGUUGGUUCACGUACUCGCUCUAAAGCUGAUGGGCCAAAUAUGUAUGUGGAGUUUGUGUGUGGAAGGGAAGGUUUAAAAAAAAGGUUUAAUGACAGUUGUGAUGCAAUGAUUAGGAUUGAGCUAAAGGAUCAAAAUAAAUGGGUUGUAACCAAAUUGGUGAAGGAACAUAGUCAUUCAAUGGUGAAUUCCAGCAAGACACAAAACCUGCAUCCACGUAAGCAUUUUUCCAGUGUUGGAAGGACUAUGCCUGAAACUUAUCAAGGAGUUGGACUUGUUCCAAGUGGUGUCCUGUAUGUAUCUAUGGAUGGGAAUCACAUUUCUAAUCAGAAUACUUGUGGGAUGCUGAAUAUUCAUGCUGCCAAUGUCGCGGAACCAAGUCAGCCUGUUAAAAAUGCCACAUUGAUGAAUUAUACUACUAGGGCGCCUUUCCAAAACAGAACAUUAGGGAAGGAUGCUCAUAAUCUGCUGGAGUAUUUUAAGAAAAUGCAGGCUGAGAAUCCUGGUUUCUUCUAUGCUAUACAACUCGAUGAAGACAAUCAUAUGUCUAAUGUCUUUUGGGCAGAUGCCCGAUCCAGGACAGCUUACAGUCAUUUUGGUGAUGCAGUUCAUCUAGACACCACAUACAGAGUUAACCAGUACAAAGUGCCAUUUGCUCCUUUUACUGGAGUGAACCAUCAUGGUCAGACGGUUUUGUUUGGUUGUGCACUUCUUUUGGACGAUUCCGAGGCUUCUUUAUUGUGGCUCUUCAAGACAUUUCUCACAGCAAUGAAUGCCCGACAACCUGUCUCUAUAACUACUGAUCAAGACAGAGCUAUACAGGCAGCAGCUUCACAAGUUUUCCCACAAGCUCGUCACUGUAUUAACAUGUGGCAUGUCUUGAGAGAAGGCCAGGAAAAGUUGGCCCAUGUAUGUCUAGCGCAUCCAAAUUUUCAGGGUGAACUUUAUAAUUCUAUCAACCUGACAGAAACCAUUGAGGAGUUUGAGUCAUCUUGGAAUUCUAUCCUUGAUAAAUAUGAACUCAGAAGAAAUGACUGGCUUCAGUCAUUGUAUAAUGCUCGUGCUCAAUGGGUUCCAGCAUAUUUCCGUGAUUCAUUUUUUGCUGCAAUAUCUCCUAAUCAAGGAUUUGGUGGUUCUUUUUUUUAUGGUUAUGUCAACCCAUUGAUGACAUUGCCGUUGUUCUUUAGGCAGUAUGAAAGAGCUGUAGAGAGCUGGAUUGAAAAGGAAAUAGAAGCAGACUUUGAGACAAUUUGCACAACACCAGAUUUGAAGACACCUUCACCAAUGGAGAAACAGGCUGCUAACCUCUAUACAAAAAAAAUAUUUCUGAAGUUUCAGGAAGAGCUAGUCGAAACUUUUGUUUAUACUGCAAAUAUAAUUGAAGGAGAUGAGGUAAAUAGCACAUUCAAGGUUGCGAAAUUUGAGGAUGUCCACAAGGCAUACAUUGUUGCAUUUAACCAUGCUGAAUUGAGAGCUAGCUGUAGUUGCCAAAUGUUUGAGUAUUCAGGCAUUCUUUGCAGGCAUAUCUUAACUGUUUUCACUAUGACAAAUGUACUUACAUUACCAUCUCAUUACAUCUUAAAACGGUGGACAAGAAAUGCAAAGAGUAGUGCCGGAUUGGAUGAACGUACUGCUGAAUUACAUGGAAAGGAGUCUCUGACAUCGAGGUACAGCAAUCUAUGCAGGGAAGCCAUCAGAUAUGCUGAGGAAGGGGCAGUAACUGUUGAAACUUUUAAUGCUGCAAUGACUGGUCUUAAAGAUGGUGGAAAGAAGGUUGCUGCAAUGAAAAGAAGUGUUGCCAAAGCUACACCUAAUAAUCAGGCCAGUGGGACUACUUAUAAUGACAAAAAAACUACCAAUUCAACUUUGGAUACAACUCCUCUUUUGUGGCCUCGACAAGAUGAAGUAACAAGGAGGUUUAAUCUUAAUGAUUCUGGUGGUCCAGUUCAAUCAGUUGCUGACCUAAAUUUUCCACGAAUGGCCCCGGUGUCUCUUCAUCGAGAUGAUGUUCCAUCUGGAAAUAUGGUGGUUCUUCCAUGCCUAAAAUCAAUGACAUGGGUAAUGGAGAACAAAAACUCAAGUCCACAGAAUAAAGUAGCUGUAAUCAAUCUGAAGUUGCAAGAUUAUAGUCGGACUCCAUCAAAAGAAUCUGAGGUUAAGUUUCAGCUCUCAAGAGUUUCUUUGGAACCAAUGCUGAAGUCUAUGGCCUACAUCAGUGAACAGCUCUCAAGACCAGCAAAUAAGGUUGCUGUAAUAAAUCUCAAGCUUCAAGAUGCGGAUACAACGUCCGGUGAGUCUGAAGUAAAGUUUCAGGUGUCCAGGGAUACAUUGGGUGCCAUGCUACGAUCAAUGGCCUAUAUCCGUGAGCAACUAUCUCAUGCUGGGCCAUGCAAUUUGGACUCCCAAAUUUACGAAAUGGCAGUUUAGUUAUUCAAAUUGAAGUCUGACAAUCAAUUCAGUUCCUCCGUCAAUCAAUUUUGAUGAAUCUAGAUUGCAAAUAGAGAUCAAUGGAAGCCUUAAACAAAUUUUUGGAUACAUGCUCCAACUGAACAUUCCCUAGACGUGCUAACUAAGCAUUUUUGUCUUUAUUGGAUGAAAGAGAGACUGAAUUGAUUCGCGACCUUCAAUUUCAGGGACUACUUUGUAGUUUCCUAAAUUUGGAGAUUGAAUUGUCUGACCUCUACAAUUUUGAGAACCAAAAUGGGCGAGGCGCAAUCAGAACCUCUGUUGAAAAAGCAUAGGAAGUAAAGCAUCAAAUUUUGCUGUCUUAUUAAUGGACGUGCAAUGAUCAUUGAAUACAAAAAAACAUAGAAAUUAGUGUGGUUAGCUUCUUUUUCCAAGUUUGUUCUCUAACAUAUACACUAUAUAUCCCAGGCACUAGCUUUAUUUUAGAUUUGCUCCCUUCAUCCUCUUUUUUGGUCCAACACCCACCCAUUCACCUUACAACCACAAAUGAUGUAUAGGGUUUAUGAAUUUGGAUCUAAGAAAGGUAAAUAGUGUGUUUUCUCCACUUUUGCUAUUUAAAAACACUCAAUAUUUUUUGAUAGUGCACAUCUUGAUAACACAAA